GGAAGGGUGGGUGAGUGGCUGAAACCAACGGUUUGCUAAACCGUCGUACGGGUUAAACUGUACCGGGAGUUCGAAUCUCCCCCCUUCCG
rnacentral:tRNA from 1 species